rnacentral:lncRNA from 1 species
UUUUCGCCUGUUCCACCUUAUAUACCCAUCACAGAAUUAGUUCACAAAAAAUAUUAUGUAUUGAUUAAUGCCACAUCAUUAUCAAUAUAAUGGCCUUUUCCUGCUGCAAAAUUGAGCAUAGUUUUCUUCAAAGUCUUAAUUGACCGCAACACUAGCUUGUCAUGAACCGACCAUUCAAGCUUUUUGCCUGCAAUUGGGCUGGGGCUGGCCGAAAGAGGGAUUUAUUGCAGCACUUAUUACACAGUACUUGUACCUUUUUCCUCCUCUCUCUCUAUAAACUUUUUUAAUUUCUGGCGUGUCAAACACGUAAAAAUUCCACUACUAGAAGAUGAUUUUUCCCUACCUCGAGUCAAUGAGAAAUUUAUAUUGUAAAAGUUAAUUUUUCCUUUCAUUUUUCCUUGAACCACCUCCAUGAGAAAUGCUUGGCGCAAAACAGAUCCUCAUCCAAAUACUAGACACUGGGAAGCUUUCUAAUUUUUUUGUAAAAGCAUAUAUUAUGCUUUAUUAUUAUUCCAC